rnacentral:tRNA from 1 species
ACCUGGGUGGCUCAGUUGGUUAAGCAUCCGACUUCAGCUCAGGCCAUGAUCUCAUGCUUUGUGGGUUCGAGCCCCACGUCAGGUU